rfam:Aedes aegypti strain Liverpool supercont1.782 genomic scaffold, whole genome shotgun sequence.
GGCUCGGUAGCUUAGUUGGUAAAGCGUUCGUCUAGGAUACAAGAGUACUGGGCUCAAAUCCCAGCCGAGCAC